GAGGACAAUAAUAAGGAUCGUUUAUCAAGGUUAAAAUAAUUAUUUUACUAAAUUAAGACAUUAACAUAUCCAUGUGUUCGACAUAACCUCACUUCUUAAAUCUCUUAAAUUAGUCGGUUGAGAAGCGGAUCGAGAAUGAUUGUUUGAAUAUAAGUCGUACAAAAUUGGAAUGAAACGAUGAACAAUAUACAGAUCUUUAGACAGGCUCAAAUAAUGUAUGUUUAGGAGCAACUUGAAGAUAAUGGAGAUUUAUCUUCUUAAUAUAAAACCUCUAAAAUUGGGAACAGUAUGU